ACAAAACCAAGGUAUUGGCGCGCCUCAAUUUGAAGACAUGGUUAACAUGAAAACCAGCCAUGUUCUUUUGAUUGAGCCGCGUCAAUAUCUCACCUUCCACU
rfam:Cajanus cajan Scaffold133937_12, whole genome shotgun sequence.